GUGAAGUAGUGGUUACUACGACUGCCUGCGACGCAGAAGGUUCCGGGUUCAAUUCCCGGUGGGGUCACU